UGCCGGACUCCUACGGGAGGCAGCAGUGAGGGAUAUUGGUCAAUGGGGGAAACCCUGCACCAGCAACGCCGCGUGAGGGAAGACGGUUUUCGGAUUGUAAACCUCUGUCCUCUGUGAAGAUAAUGACGGUAGCAGAGGAGGAAGCUCCGGCUAACUACGUGCCAGCAGCCGCGGUAAUACGUAGGGGGCAAGCGUUAUCCGGAUUUACUGGGUGUAAAGGGGGCGCAGACGGCAGCGCAAGCCAGGAGUGAAAGCCCGGGGCCCAACCCCGGGACUGCUCUUGGAACUGCGCGGCUGGAGUGUAGGAGGGGCAGGCGGAAUUCCUGGUGUAGCGGUGAAAUGCGUAGAUAUCAGGAGGAACACCGGUGGCGAAGGCGGCCUGCUGGACUGCGACUGACGUUGAGGCCCGAAAGCGUGGGGAGCAAACAGGAUUAGAUACCCUUGUAC
rnacentral:rRNA from 1 species